rnacentral:rRNA from 1 species
UCGAUGUCGGCUCAUCUCAUCCUGGGGCUGUAGCCGGUCCCAAGGGUAUGGCUGUUCGCCAUUUAAAGAGGUACGUGAGCUGGGUUUAAAACGUCGUGAGACAGUUUGGUCCCUAUCUUCCGUGGGCGCUGCAGAUUUGAGGAAGCCUGCUCCUAGUACGAGAGGACCGGAGUGGACACACCUCUGGUGUAUCGGUUGUCACGCCAGUGGCAUUGCCGAGUAGCUAAGUGUGGAAGAGAUAACCGCUGAAAGCAUCUAAGCGGGAAACUCGUUUCAAGAUGAGAUCUGCCGGGGCCUUGAGCCCCCUAAAGAGUCGUUCAAGACCAGGACGUUGAUAGGUCAGGUGUGGAAGCGCAGUAAUGCGUUAAGCUAACUGAUACUAAUUGCUCGUGAGGCUUGACCCU